rnacentral:rRNA from 1 species
AAACUUUCAACAACGGAUCUCUUGGCUCGGGCAUCGAUGAAGAACGCAGCGAAAUGCGAUAAGUAAUGUGAAUUGCAGAACCCAGCGAAUCAUCGAAUCUUUGAACGCACAUUGCGCCCGGGAGCAUUCUCCCGGGCAUACCUGUUCGAGCGUCAUUU